rnacentral:rRNA from 1 species
AGUGAACGCUGGCGGUAGGCCUAACACAUGCAAGUCGAACGGCAGCACAGUAAGAGCUUGCUCUUACGGGUGGCGAGUGGCGGACGGGUGAGGAAUACAUCGGAAUCUACUUUUUCGUGGGGGAUAACGUAGGGAAACUUACGCUAAUACCGCAUACGACCUACGGGUGAAAGCAGGGGAUCUUCGGACCUUGCGCGAUUGAAUGAGCCGAUGUCGGAUUAGCUAGUUGGCGGGGUAAAGGCCCACCAAGGCGACGAUCCGUAGCUGGUCUGAGAGGAUGAUAAGCGACACUGGAACUGAGACACGGUCCAGACUCCUACGGGAGGCAGCAGUGGGGAAUAUUGGACAAUGGGCGCAAGCCUGAUCCAGCCAUACCGCGUGGGUGAAGAAGGCCUUCGGGUUGUAAAGCCCUUUUGUUGGGAAAGAAAAGCAGCAGGUUAAGACCCCGCUGUUCUGACGGUACCCAAAGAAUAAGCACCGGCUAACUUCGUG